AGCAUUGAUCUCAAUCUUCGCUCAUCUCGUAAACAGACUUUUAAAUCUAAAAUACAUCAAGCUCUUUUAACCAUACUUCAAGAUCAAAAUGACUAUGUUGACGUACCCAUGAUAAUUGAAAUGCUGCCCAAUGUAACCGCGAUAUAAUUUUCAGCUCAUCAUAACUUUCUAAUUGCUUUCAAAAAGAAUGUAUUUGUGUUAUGAAUAAUAUUUUUCAUUUAAAAAUUAUCAUAGCCAAUCGGAAUCUAAACUCUCGUUCUGUAAAUAAUUCAUUUUACUUCUUCUCAAUAUAAAUCAGUUGUAUAUAUAUAAUAUUAUUUAAUUAGAUUCAUUUCCUGCCACGAUUAGCUUGCUAUUGCAGGAUUUGAAUCUUGUAUUUUGUCAUGUGUAUUAUUCAAAUAAAGUUGUAUUGUAUAUACACUAGAUAGUGCAUCUAAUAAUAAUGCAAUUCAAAAAUUGAAGCCGUGAUUGCAGACUCAGGAUAUUCCCAUGAAAUGAGAAGACUCGUAUGUUUUUUAUUUCUUAAACAGGGAACUUAAUUAAACAUUAAGUUAAACCUAUUCCAAAUACAUUUUCAAACUAUUCAAAUGAUGAAAGUUAUUAUUGUUUUUUAAGCGUUUAUUAGCGAGUGGGAAACUCCAACAUGGCCGCCAUCUAUUCAAAUGGGGGUAACCGCUGGAAUAUUCUUGGCUUCAAUUUUACUAAAAGAGAUGCGCUAUCUAGUGUAUAUAAGAUAUCUAUGGAUAGCUGUCACACCACUAGAAAUAAUGUGAUUGGUGUUUGUUGUAUAAAAAUGAUCUAUAGGGGAUGAAGUAUUUUUUGUAACCCUAGUAGGCUCUUUUAUCAAUUGUUCGUAUUGAUAUAGAUUUGUAAUAAAUUUCAAUUCUGAUACUAUAGUGACGUGGGAUUGUUGUCUAAGAGAUCACAAUUAAUAUCCCCUAAGAUAAUACUUUCUUUGUCUUCGUUAUCAAUUAAUUUUAAACAACUCUCAAAUUUAUAUAGAGUGCUGAUUAAAUCGCUUGGCGGUCUGUACCAUGUGGUAAUUAGGGUAUCUCAUUUCACGAUAUCAUUGUCUGUAUAAAACUGUAGGCAAAGCAACAGAGAUCUUAGUAAAAUAUGUUUCUUAAAAUUGCUGAAAUUUUACAUUCUCCCUCGAUCCUUAUUCGCCAAUAUCAGUUGCGAGUAUAGGCGCGUCACUUGUUUACAUCCACUAAAUAUCGGGGCUUAACUCGAAUGCUUAAAUCGUUAAUUGACUUCGAGUUAAGCCCCCGGCGAAAAGGGGCGUGGCAGGAG